GACGAACGCUGGCGGCGUGCUUAACACAUGCAAGUCGAACGGAAAGGCCUGCUUUCCCUUGUGGAUUGCGGGUACUCGAGUGGCGAACGGGUGAGUAACACGUGAGUUAUCUGCCCCCAACUUGGGUAUAAGCCUGGGAAACUGGGUCUAAUUCCCGAUAGGACUGCAGGGUGGUGCCUGUGGUGGAAAACGAUUUUCUAGUGGUUGGGGAUGAGCUCGCGGCCUAUCAGCUUGUUGGUGGGGUAAUGGCCUACCAAGGCGGGGACGGGUAGCCGGCCUGAGAGGGUGGACGGCCAAAUUGGGACUGAGACAAGGCCCAGACUCCUACGGGAGGUAGCAGUGGGGAAUAUUGCACAAUGGGCGGAAGCCUGACGCAGCGACGCCGUGUGGGGGAUGACGGGCUUCGGGUUGUAAACUCCUGUCGAACGAGAGGAAGAGACCUGGUUGGAAGGGUGGUGACGGUAGUGGUAGAAGAAGCACCGGCUAACUACGUG
rnacentral:rRNA from 1 species